AGGCUUCUAUAUCCAUGCUGAAGUUUUGUUACAUACCAAACCACUAGAGCUGAUGAGACUCGCAAGAUAAGUGAAGCG
rnacentral:pre_miRNA from 1 species